rnacentral:rRNA from 2 species
GGGUUGUGAGGUUAAGCGACUAAGCGUACACGGUGGAUGCCCUGGCAGUCAGAGGCGAUGAAGGACGUGCUAAUCUGCGAUAAGCGUCGGUAAGGUGAUAUGAACCGUUAUAACCGGCGAUUUCCGAAUGGGGAAACCCAGUGUGAUUCGUCACACUAUCAUUAACUGAAUCCAUAGGUUAAUGAGGCGAACCGGGGGAACUGAAACAUCUAAGUACCCCGAGGAAAAGAAAUCAACCGAGAUUCCCCCAGUAGCGGCGAGCGAACGGGGAGCAGCCCAGAGCCUGAAUCAGUGUGUGUGUUAGUGGAAGCGUCUGGAAAGGCGCGCGAUACAGGGUGACAGCCCCGUACACAAAAAUGCACAUGCUGUGAGCUCGAUGAGUAGGGCGGGACACGUGGUAUCCUGUCUGAAUAUGGGGGGACCAUCCUCCAAGGCUAAAUACUCCUGACUGACCGAUAGUGAACCAGUACCGUGAGGGAAAGGCGAAAAGAACCCCGGCGAGGGGAGUGAAAAAGAACCUGAAACCGUGUACGUACAAGCAGUGGGAGCACAGAGCAAUCUGUGUGACUGCGUACCUUUUGUAUAAUGGGUCAGCGACUUAUAUUCUGUAGCAAGGUUAACCGAAUAGGGGAGCCGAAGGGAAACCGAGUCUUAACUGGGCGUUAAGUUGCAGGGUAUAGACCCGAAACCCGGUGAUCUAGCCAUGGGCAGGUUGAAGGUUGGGUAACACUAACUGGAGGACCGAACCGACUAAUGUUGAAAAAUUAGCGGAUGACUUGUGGCUGGGGGUGAAAGGCCAAUCAAACCGGGAGAUAGCUGGUUCUCCCCGAAAGCUAUUUAGGUAGCGCCUCGUGAAUUCAUCUCCGGGGGUAGAGCACUGUUUCGGCAAGGGGGUCAUCCCGACUUACCAACCCGAUGCAAACUGCGAAUACCGGAGAAUGUUAUCACGGGAGACACACGGCGGGUGCUAACGUCCGUCGUGAAGAGGGAAACAACCCAGACCGCCAGCUAAGGUCCCAAAGUCAUGGUUAAGUGGGAAACGAUGUGGGAAGGCCCAGACAGCCAGGAUGUUGGCUUAGAAGCAGCCAUCAUUUAAAGAAAGCGUAAUAGCUCACUGGUCGAGUCGGCCUGCGCGGAAGAUGUAACGGGGCUAAACCAUGCACCGAAGCUGCGGCAGCGACGCUGAUGCGUUGUUGGGUAGGGGAGCGUUCUGUAAGCCUGUGAAGGUGUGCUGUGAGGCAUGCUGGAGGUAUCAGAAGUGCGAAUGCUGACAUAAGUAACGAUAAAGCGGGUGAAAAGCCCGCUCGCCGGAAGACCAAGGGUUCCUGUCCAACGUUAAUCGGGGCAGGGUGAGUCGACCCCUAAGGCGAGGCCGAAAGGCGUAGUCGAUGGGAAACAGGUUAAUAUUCCUGUACUUGGUGUUACUGCGAAGGGGGGACGGAGAAGGCUAUGUUGGCCGGGCGACGGUUGUCCCGGUUUAAGCGUGUAGGCUGGUUUUCCAGGCAAAUCCGGAAAAUCAAGGCUGAGGCGUGAUGACGAGGCACUACGGUGCUGAAGCAACAAAUGCCCUGCUUCCAGGAAAAGCCUCUAAGCAUCAGGUAACAUCAAAUCGUACCCCAAACCGACACAGGUGGUCAGGUAGAGAAUACCAAGGCGCUUGAGAGAACUCGGGUGAAGGAACUAGGCAAAAUGGUGCCGUAACUUCGGGAGAAGGCACGCUGAUAUGUAGGUGAAGUCCCUCGCGGAUGGAGCUGAAAUCAGUCGAAGAUACCAGCUGGCUGCAACUGUUUAUUAAAAACACAGCACUGUGCAAACACGAAAGUGGACGUAUACGGUGUGACGCCUGCCCGGUGCCGGAAGGUUAAUUGAUGGGGUUAGCGCAAGCGAAGCUCUUGAUCGAAGCCCCGGUAAACGGCGGCCGUAACUAUAACGGUCCUAAGGUAGCGAAAUUCCUUGUCGGGUAAGUUCCGACCUGCACGAAUGGCGUAAUGAUGGCCAGGCUGUCUCCACCCGAGACUCAGUGAAAUUGAACUCGCUGUGAAGAUGCAGUGUACCCGCGGCAAGACGGAAAGACCCCGUGAACCUUUACUAUAGCUUGACACUGAACAUUGAGCCUUGAUGUGUAGGAUAGGUGGGAGGCUUUGAAGUGUGGACGCCAGUCUGCAUGGAGCCGACCUUGAAAUACCACCCUUUAAUGUUUGAUGUUCUAACGUUGACCCGUGAUCCGGGUUGCGGACAGUGUCUGGUGGGUAGUUUGACUGGGGCGGUCUCCUCCUAAAGAGUAACGGAGGAGCACGAAGGUUGGCUAAUCCUGGUCGGACAUCAGGAGGUUAGUGCAAUGGCAUAAGCCAGCUUGACUGCGAGCGUGACGGCGCGAGCAGGUGCGAAAGCAGGUCAUAGUGAUCCGGUGGUUCUGAAUGGAAGGGCCAUCGCUCAACGGAUAAAAGGUACUCCGGGGAUAACAGGCUGAUACCGCCCAAGAGUUCAUAUCGACGGCGGUGUUUGGCACCUCGAUGUCGGCUCAUCACAUCCUGGGGCUGAAGUAGGUCCCAAGGGUAUGGCUGUUCGCCAUUUAAAGUGGUACGCGAGCUGGGUUUAGAACGUCGUGAGACAGUUCGGUCCCUAUCUGCCGUGGGCGCUGGAGAACUGAGGGGGGCUGCUCCUAGUACGAGAGGACCGGAGUGGACGCAUCACUGGUGUUCGGGUUGUCAUGCCAAUGGCACUGCCCGGUAGCUAAAUGCGGAAGAGAUAAGUGCUGAAAGCAUCUAAGCACGAAACUUGCCCCGAGAUGAGUUCUCCCUGACUCCUUGAGAGUCCUGAAGGAACGUUGAAGACGACGACGUUGAUAGGCCGGGUGUGUAAGCGCAGCGAUGCGUUGAGCUAACCGGUACUAAUGAACCGUGAGGCUUAACCUUACAACGCCGAAG